UACGUAGGGGGCUAGCGUUAUCCGGAAUUACUGGGCGUAAAGGGUGCGUAGGUGGUUUCUUAAGUCAGAGGUGAAAGGCUACGGCUCAACCGUAGUAAGCCUUUGAAACUGGGAAACUUGAGUGCAGGAGAGGAGAGUGGAAUUCCUAGUGUAGCGGUGAAAUGCGUAGAUAUUAGGAGGAACACCAGUUGCGAAGGCGGCUCUCUGGACUGUAACUGACGCUGAGGAGCGAAAGCGUGGGGAGCGAACAGG
rnacentral:rRNA from 1 species